GGGGAAUAUUGCACAAUGGGCGCAAGCCUGAUGCACCCAUGCCGCGUGUGUGAAAAAAGCCUUCUGGUUGUAAAGCACUUUCACCGAGGAGGAAAGGUUCUGUGUUAAUAGCACAUUGCAUUGACGUUACUCUCAGAAAAAACACCGGCUAACUCCGUGCCAGCAGCCGCGGUAAUACAGAGGGUGCAAGCGUUAAUCUGAAUUACUGGGCGUAAAGCGCACGCACGCGGUUUGUUAAGUCACAUGUGAAAUCCCCGCGCUUAACGUGGGAACUGCAUUUGAAACUGGCAAGCUAUAGUCUUGUAUAGGGGGGUAGAAUUCCACGUGUAGCGGUGAAAUGCGUAUAGAUCUGGAGGAAUACCGGUGGCGAAAGCGGCCCCCUGGACAAAGACUGACACUCACGUGCGAAAGCGUGUGGAGCAAACACGAUUAUAUACCCUGGUAGUCCACGCUGUAAACAAUAUCUACUUGUAGGUUGUGCCCUUGAGGCGUGGCUUCCCGAGCUAACACGUUAAGUCUACCCCCUGGGGAGUACGGCCGCAAGGUUAAAACUCACAUGAAUUGACGGGGGGCCGCACAAACGGGGGAGCAAGUGGUUUUAUUUUAUUGCACCCGAAAAACCUUUACCUCCUCUGUACAUCCCCAAAAUUCUCCAGAGAAAACUUUGUGCCUUCGGGAACUCCUAAAAAGUGCUGCGAGGGCGUCUUCCCCCCCCGGUUUGAAAAUGUGGGUUAAAUCCCCCAACAAGGGCCCCCCUUUCCUUUUUUUUCCCACACGUAAUGGUGGGAACUCAAAGGAGACUGCCGGUGAUAAACCGGAGGAAGGUGGGGAUGACGUCAAGUCAUCAUGGCCCUUACGAGUAGGGCUACACACGUGCUACAAUGGCGUAUACAAAGAGAAGCGAACUCGCGAGAGC
rnacentral:rRNA from 1 species